AGAGACUUAGGAUAACUUAGACCAAGGGCCUUCAAAGCCCUCAGUGAAGGUUAGAAUCCUUCAGUCCCUG
rnacentral:tRNA from 1 species